AAGCGUGCUUGGGCGAGAGUAGUACUAGGAUGGGUGACCUCCUGGGAAGUCCUCGUGUUGCACCCC
rfam:Arabis alpina cultivar Pajares scaff_69096_1_contig_0, whole genome shotgun sequence.